CGCCUGUUUAUCAAAAACAUCUUUUCUCGUUAGUUUUUGAAGUAUGGCCUGCCCGCUGACUUUGGUGUUGAAGGGCCGCGGUAUUUUGACCGUGCAAAGGUAGCAUAGUCAUUAGUUCUUUAAUUGUGAUCUGGUAUGAAUGGCUUGACGAGACAUGGGCUGUCUUAAUUUUGAAUUGUUUAUUGAAUUUGGUCUUUGAGUUAAAAUUCUUAGAUGUUUUUAUGGGACGAGAAGACCCUAUAGAGUUUAACAUUUAUUUUGGCCUUUUUCUGUUUGUGAGGGUUUACUAGGCCAUUUAGUAUGUUUUGUUGGGGUGAUGGGAGGGAUUUAUUUAACCCCUCCUAUUGGUGUUAUAUUUAUUUAUAUUUGCUUGAUCCAUUUAUUUUGAUUAUAAGAUUAAAUUACCUUAGGGAUAACAGCGUAA
rnacentral:rRNA from 1 species